GGCAUAUUCACCGGCGCGGCGUGCCGCUAUAGCUGACAGAAAGUGUGCUUUCUCAGCAUGAAAAUAAUAGAAUGGGAAGACUCAGAUCAAAGGAACAAGCUGAUCAAUAGGAAUAUUGCGUCAAGAAGAACGAUCGGGUAGAGCUUAUCACGGCA